rnacentral:rRNA from 1 species
CCUACGGGUGGCAGCAGUGGGGAAUAUUGCACAAUGGGCGAAAGCCUGAUGCAGCAACGCCGCGUGAGCGAUGACGGCCUUCUGGUCUGUAAGCUCUUUCCUCAAGGAAGAAAAUGACGGUACUUGUGGACGAAGCCCCGGCUAACUACGUGUCAGCAUCCGCUGUAAUACGUAGGGGGCUAGCGUUAUCCGGAAUUACUGGGCGUAAAGGGUGCGUAGGUGGUUUCUUAAGUCAGAGGUGAAAGGCUAGGGCUCAACCGUAGUAAGCCUUUGAAACUGGGGAACUUGAGUGCAGGAGAGGAGAGUGGAAUUCGUAGUGUAGCGGUGAAAUGCAUAGAUAUUAGGAGGAACACCAGUUGCGAAGGCGGCUCUCUGGAGUGUAACUGACACUGAGGCACGAAAGCGUGGGGAGCGAACAGGAUUAGAUACCCGGGUAGUC